CACUAUGCUGUUUACCGUUUACAUCAGUUACUCAGAAUAACCAUUGCUGCUCAUAAAUCCAUUUCUAUUCACUUUUACCGUUUACUAGCUUCUUUCCCCAAGAAAACUAUUCGCCCCACCAUUUUCUCAGUUACUCAGAAUAAGCGCCGCUGCCCCGUAGACCCGGAUCAAGAAAAACCCUGCAUCUGUAAUUCGGAGAAGGGAAUAUAGUAUUGGGAAGACGAUUCAAACGUCGUUUCACAGACAUGUGGUGGAAAGAGCUGAAAGCAGCUUUGGGGCAGAGGAUUAACGUGGAGGGCAUCGCUUCUUCUCUUGAGAUUUUCCGCAAAGACAAGCAUUUGAUUAUCCCACAUGUCUCUGUGCCGGAUAUUAGGUACAUUGAUUGGGGUGAGCUGAAGAGAAGGGGCUUUCAAGGGGUUGUCUUUGAUAAGGACAACACAAUCACUGCUGCUUACUCGUUGGGCUUAUGGCCGCCUCUCGAAUCAUCCAUACAACACUGCAAAGCUCUCUUCGGCAACAACAUCGCGGUUUUCAGCAACUCUGCAGGACUAUAUGAAUAUGAUCCUGAUGGAAAAAAAGCUAUGAUUCUUGAGCGUGCAAUUGGGAUUAAAGUAAUCAGGCAUAAAAUGAAGAAGCCAGCUGGAACAGCUGAAGAAAUUGAACAGCACUUUGGUUGUGAAUCAUCAAAACUUAUCAUGGUUGGUGAUCGACCCUUGACAGACAUUGCAUAUGGAAACAGAAAUGGUUUCCUAACUAUUUUGACAGAGCCAUUAAGUCUUGCUGAGGAGCCGUUUAUAGUACAACAGGUUAGGGUAAUAGAAAGGGCUCUUAUGAAACAUUGGUCCAGAAAGGGGCUGAAGCCAAUAACACACGAACUUCUUCCCGAUUACAUGCUGUGUGUAAAAGACAAACCACUAUAGAAAGAGGAAAUGCCUUUAUGUUGCCUUUCUGAAAGAGCCAAAUAUUGGAGGGAACAGCCUCAUGCUUUCGCGAGCAACCUGCCAGCCAGGAAACGCGAUUGGGGGAGCAAACACACCUUCCAGGACUCUCUCGAAUGUGUCUAAAAGCCCUGGUUUCACAUCAAUGCCUAACAAGCAUUCAAACACAAUAUUGAAAGUCAACAUUUUUGUGAGGUGAAAGAGGCUGAUUAUCUGUUUCCCCUGCCAGUUAUUGUGUAGAUGCAUCUGAACAGUUUUGCAUAUUUUAGGCACCAUUGUCUCCAGGCCUAAACAGCCAAGGCUAGAGGCUACAAUCCCCCGAAUGAACCGGUGUGCUUCGCCCUGUUUCUCCAUGAUGGAAUUCUUCCCCAUCAGCUGAACUGACGACGAAGGCCAUGAGCUCACAACCAGCUUGAAUUCAUUGGACAGAAAAAACUUGUUUGCCUCUGCUCCGUUCACCAACACCGUUGGUGACCCCAUGAUCCUCGUUUUGAAUGUUUUGCCGUACUUGUGUAUCCUCGGUUGAACAAACUCCUCAAACAGCUUGUUCUUCUUUUGAGCCUUGUAGAAAUCUAUCGUUUCGCCUAUCCAGGGAAGCCCCAUUUCUCCAGGUGGUAGCUUCUUCUUGCUUCUGCUCUCAUACCCCUUGAAAUGUACCAGGAAUGCAGCAACCGCCAUUGGAAUCAAGGCCAAGAAAAAGAAAGAAAGACUGAAGUUCAUUUCAAGAUCCAUUGGGAAGAAAUUAAAAAAAUACCCAGAUUUUGCUGGUUUCAGUUUUGUGAGUUUGCAGUUAGCUCUAGAGAAGGAAUACUAAUUUAUAUAUGUGUUGUGCAUGGAGAUUAAUGAAGUAUAAAAUUAUAUUA